UAGUGCCCUGGUCGUGCUCUGUCUGUCGUUAUCUAGUGCCCUGGUCUGACCUGUGUCUGUUUACCUAGUGCCCCCUGUCGUGCUCUGUCUGUCUGUUACCUAGUGCCCUGGUCGUGGCUCUGUCUGUGGUUAUCUAGUGCCCUGGUCGUGACUGUCUGUCUGUUACCUAGUGCCCCUGUCGUGCUCUGUCUGUCUGUUUCUCGUGCCCUGGCCGCGUCUUUCUGUCUGUUACCUAUGCCUGGUCGUGCUCUGUCUGUAUGUUACCUAGUGCCCUGGUCGUGUCUGUCUGUCUGUUACCUAGUGCCCUGGUCGUGCUCUGUCUGUCUGUAACCUAGUGCCCUGGUCGUGCUCUGUCUGUCUGUUACCUAGUGCCCUGGUCGUGCUCUGUCUGUCUGUACCUAGUGCCCUGGUCGUCUCUGUCUGUUAUCUGGUGCCUGGUUGUGCUCUGGUCUGUCUGUUACCUAGUGCCUGGUCGUACUGUCUGUUGUUACCUCGUGCCUUGGUCGUGCCUGUCGUCUGUUUACUAGUGCCCUGGCCGUGCUCUGUGUGUCUCGUAGUUCACGUUGCGAUGGUCAGGUGGGCAGGUUGUAGUGCUGGAGCGCCGUCGUGAGCGCCCCAGAGCCUGAUAGGCUACAGCCAGGUUACCAUGGGUAGAGGCCUGGGAGGGCGGUCAUUCACCUGGGAGGGAAAGAAGGUCAAUAACAGGGUUGUGUCUG
rnacentral:lncRNA from 1 species